CAUCCUGCUGAACUUUGUUCAUCUGCUGUGUGACUUCAACACCUGAAACAUGUUCCUUUACCUGUUUGUACUUUUCUCUCACUGCAUAGCUUUGGGCUCCAUGAACAGCAUAAAGCAGGAACGUGCUGAAGAAGCUGUUGCAGAGCGAGGAAACAUCAACCUGACCUGUACAUACGAUGGUCUUAUCAACAAUAUCCAGUGGUACCGACAAUACCAGAGAUCCAGACCAGAGUUCCUGCUCUACAUCACAGAGGGAGGAUCAGUUCAUGAAGCUGUGUCGGGAUUCUCAGCUCACAUUGACAAAACAGAGAAACGUGCAGAUCUGGAGAUCUCCUCUGCUGCAGUGACAGACUCUGCUGUGUACUACUGUGCUCUGCAGCCCACAACUCUGAACUGGGCUGAACUGGAAGACCAACACAGAGACCGGAGACAAGGAGACGAGCAGGCUCUGUUUCCUCUGGAAGCUGAGGUCCUUCAGCUGGUGACAUCAUCAUCAUCAUGGCUCUUUGAUUGGCUGCAAACUGGACACGUUUGA